AGUGGACCGUGAUGAUGACGAAGCCCUGGACCGAGUUGAAGACUGCAAAGAGGACCUGGAAGAGGAUGGAGCGCCGGUCGGUCAUGGCGAGCACAGCCGACAUCCAGGCUCAUUAUAGGAAAUGCAAGGAAACAGGGAGAACGUUCCUGGCAAUAUAAUCGGGAGAAGACACUGUGAAGGGGAAGCAAAUGGAACCAAGUGGCACCUAUUGCCAGCUUGCCAAACAUCACCUGAAGAGCCCAGCCGAGUGAAAGAAAAAUUUAGCACCCAUCAACAUGCACUGUCAACAAAGCAGCCAGAGAGAGAGAGAGAGAGAGAGA